rnacentral:rRNA from 1 species
AUUGAACGCUGGCGGCAUGCUUUACACAUGCAAGUCGAACGGUAACAGGCCGCAAGGUGCUGACGAGUGGCGAACGGGUGAGUAAUUCAUCGGAACGUGCCCAGUCGUGGGGUAUAACUACUCGAAAGAGUAGCUAAUACCGCAUACGAUCUAUGGAUGAAAGCGGGGGACCGGAAGGCCUCGCGCGAUUUGAGCGGCCGAUGUCAGAUUAGGUAGUUGGUGGGGUAAAGGCUCACCAAGCCAACGAUCUGUAGCUGGUCUGAGAGGACGACCAGCCACACUGGGACUGAGACACGGCCCAGACUCCUACGGGAGGCAGCAGUGGGGAAUUUUGGACAAUGGGCGCAAGCCUGAUCCAGCAAUGCCGCGUGCAGGAAGAAGGCCUUCGGGUUGUAAACUGCUUUUGUACGGAACGAAACGGCUCUGGUUAAUACCCGGGGCUAAUGACGGUACCGUAAGAAUAAGCACCGGCUAACUACGUG